GAGUCUAGCUAACACAGCAUCUUGGAUGCACUCCUAAGAGAAGACUACCUGAAAGGCGUGUACACUGGUCUAGCAGUUGAGAUCAGCUAGUGUUCCAUCUAUCUUCUGUCAUGUCAGGGAAGACUCUCUGAUCCUCUCAUAAUUUACCUAUUGUUGAUUUCCUGAAUCUUUUUAAAUCCUUUGCAACUGAAGAUGGUCUCUCCAUCAGAGAAGCAAUUAACCAAAUGCCUGACUACAGCGUAUAUAGCAUCUGUUAUAAAAGCAUAAAAGGUUAACUUAAAUCCUGGCACACAAAGGAGAUGUCAGACCAGAACAAAUCAGCAUGGAAAUACCUGGAGGAGAUACAAGGUUAAGGUGGAGCAUAUGUACAGUCAAGAGGAUGUUCAUGACUAGUGGAAUGUGUUUUUCAGAUUGCAAAGACUGGAAGGUGCAGGUGACAAGGAGAUUAAACAAGGUCACUUGUUUUCUUUCCUUCUCUGAAAUAAAGAAGGUCAGUCUGGUAAAAGUGGCCGUAUCACACAAUUUCGACCCAUGGGAUAUAAAUGGAAGUCGACUGUGAUUUUUCCCAGUCAUUGCUUUCUGUUAAUGAGAUCUGUUUUAUUUCUCUUUUCUUUUUUCGUCCUACUAAAAAUGCAUGUGAUUGUCAUAGCUGAAA
rnacentral:lncRNA from 10 species